rnacentral:rRNA from 1 species
AUUGAACGCUGGCGGCAGGCCUAACACAUGCAAGUCGAACGGUAACAGGAAACAGCUUGCUGUUUCGCUGACGAGUGGCGGACGGGUGAGUAAUGUCUGGGAAACUGCCUGAUGGAGGGGGAUAACUACUGGAAACGGUAGCUAAUACCGCAUAACGUCGCAAGACCAAAGAGGGGGACCUUCGGGCCUCUUGCCAUCGGAUGUGCCCAGAUGGGAUUAGCUAGUAGGUGGGGUAACGGCUCACCUAGGCGACGAUCCCUAGCUGGUCUGAGAGGAUGACCAGCCACACUGGAACUGAGACACGGUCCAGACUCCUACGGGAGGCAGCAGUGGGGAAUAUUGCACAAUGGGCGCAAGCCUGAUGCAGCCAUGCCGCGUGUAUGAAGAAGGCCUUCGGGUUGUAAAGUACUUUCAGCGGGGAUGAAGGGAGUAAAGUUAAUACCUUUGCUCAUUGACGUUACCCGCAGAAGAAGCACCGGCUAACUCCGUA